rnacentral:lncRNA from 1 species
UCAAUUUAAAGUUUGGGGUUACUCAUGGCUCGAUCGCAAGCUAAUACUACUAAUGCUAAUAAAAUAGAAAAGCAAAUGUCCAAAUACUAGGUCUAGUCACGUGGGGUAAACGAUUGAGUAAUGGAAUUUAGUUCGUGAAAUAUAAUCAAAUAGGUUUAAGGUAGUAUUAUCAAAGGGCUAGUACACAUCAAUGGAAUUUAGUUCGUGAAAUACAAUCAAAUAGGUUGAAGGCAAUAUUAUCAAAUGGCUAGCACACAACGAAUUAAUUGAUGCAAUUCUAAAAUAAAGAAAUAGCGUCAACUAAAAAUAAAUAGGAUCAGGAACUCCCUGAGUACUGUUGGUUUGAGUCGUCCCAGCGUCGAAUGUCUCCACGUUCUGAACUACUAAGCCCUGAGAUGCCAAGAUAGAAAAUUUCGUGCUCGUCGAGGUGCGAUACUGAACAGUCAACUAAAAAUGAACCUGUAAAUGAUGUCAGAAAAUUUAAAAUUCACGAUACCUUUUUU